UUUUAAUUAAAGUUAGUUAAUAAGAAAUUAAAUGAAAUCAUUAAAUUUAAAAAAUUUGGCGGUAUUUUAAAUAGUUAGAGGAACUUGUUAAUUAAAUGAUAAUCCACGAAUGGAGUGUCCUGAUAAAAUUUUAUGUAUUGUUGUAUAAAAAUUAUUUUAUGAGAAUUAUAAUUAAAAUAUUUAAUUUAAUUUUAAUUCAAAUCAAAAUGUAGAAUUAUUAGGUUUAAAUGAGUUACAAUUUAAUUUAAUAAAAUAAUUAUUUUUUUAAUUAGAAUAAUAAAUUAGGAUUUAAAAGUAAAUUUAAAAAAAUUUUUUNNUUGAAAUAUUAAUU
rnacentral:rRNA from 1 species